UACAUGGGGUGCAAACGUUGCUCGGAAUCAUUGGGCGUAAAGCGCGCGUAGGCGGUUGCUUAAGUCGGAUGUGAAAGCCCUCGGCUUAACUGAGGAAGUGCAUCCGAAACUGAGCAGCUAGAGUACGAAAGAGGGUCGCGGAAUUCCCGGUGUAGAGGUGAAAUUCGUAGAUAUCGGGAGGAACACCGGUGGCGAAAGCGGCGACCUGGGUCGAGACUGACGCUGAGGCACGAAAGCGUGGGGAGCAAACAGG
rnacentral:rRNA from 1 species